rnacentral:misc_RNA from 1 species
AAGUCGUAACAAGGUUUCCGUAGGUGAACCUGCGGAAGGAUCAUUAUUGAAUAUGUUGGUACUGUUGCUGGCUCUUCACCGAGCAUGUGCACGUCCAUCUAUUUAUCUUCUCUUGUGCACCUUUUGUAGUCUUUUGAAGAAGGAGUGGGUGUGUCCUCAGGGAAACGCUUUGCCCCUUUUUUCAGAGGCUAUGUUUUCAUAUACACUAUAAAGUUACAGAAUGUCUUUUAAAGAUUGUGCUAGCCGCAGUCAUUAAACCUAUACAACUUUCAGCAACGGAUCUCUUGGCUCUC